rnacentral:lncRNA from 1 species
UGUCCCUCGAUGACCCUUCGGUGUAGCCUACGGUUAAAUGAUGAUAGUCCCUUCGAAUGCUAAGAUAUCCUCACAACUGUUGCCUUCAAUGACCAAUCAAUGACCCUUCGAUGACCCUCCUACAUCCAAAGGAUAAAACUACUUACUUCUCAAUAGUAAGGAUAGUUUUACCCUCAUAAGGAUAGGAAAUGCCCGGAAAGACCUCGGACAGGUAUAACCCUUAAUUGCUCAUUCAUAACCUAAAA